UCCGCCUCGCUUGUUGGGUAUUCAGCUUCU
rnacentral:piRNA from 1 species